CUUGUGCUAUCUAAGUGGUGUUGGUCAAAGUGUAGUAUCUUUUAUCAGCUUAAUAUCUGAUACGGGUUGUAUUUUGACCCAAGAUAUCAAACUGAUUUUUCCUAGUAGGCGGAGUGCUUGAAACCUGCUCCUCCUCCGCCUCGGGCCGGCCCAGUAUUGUACUCUUCCGGGAUCGGCCCACGUUUU